CAAGACAACUUUACGGAGUUGACGAUUGACGGAGCGAAGCGACGUCAAAGCGUUCAUUAAAGUCGAGUUGGCUUAGGGAUACGUUCGUUGGGUAGGGGAGCGUUCUGUAAGCCUGUGAAGGUGUGUCGUGAGGCAUGCUGGAGGUAUCAGAAGUGCGAAUGCUGACAUAAGUAACGAUAAAGCGGGUGAAAAGCCCGCUCGCCGGAAGACCAAGGGUUCCUGUCCAACGUUAAUCGGGGCAGGGUGAGUCGACCCCUAAGGCGAGGCCGAAAGGCGUAGUCGAUGGGAAACGGGUUAAUAUUCCCGUACUUGGUGUUACUGCGAAGGGGGGACGGAGAAGGCUAUGUUGGCCGGGCGACGGUUGUCCCGGUUUAAGCGUGUAGGUGUGUGUUCCAGGUAAAUCCGGUUCACUUUAACACUGAGGCGUGACGACGAGGCACUACGGUGCUGAAGCAACAAAUGCCCUGCUUCCAGGAAAAGCCUCUAAGCAUCAGGUAACACGAAAUCGUACCCCAAACCGACACAGGUGGUCAGGUAGAGAAUACCAAGGUGCUUGAGAGAACUCGGGUGAAGGAACUAGGCAAAAUGGUGCCGUAACUUCGGGAGAAGGCACGCUGACACGUAGGUGAAGUGAUUUACUCAUGGAGCUGAAGUCAGUCGAAGAUACCAGCUGGCUGCAACUGUUUAUUAAAAACACAGCACUGUGCAAACACGAAAGUGGACGUAUACGGUGUGACGCCUGCCCGGUGCCGGAAGGUUAAUUGAUGGGGUCAGCGUAAGCGAAGCUCCUGAUCGAAGCCCCGGUAAACGGCGGCCGUAACUAUAACGGUCCUAAGGUAGCGAAAUUCCUUGUCGGGUAAGUUCCGACCUGCACGAAUGGCGUAAUGAUGGCCAGGCUGUCUCCACCCGAGACUCAGUGAAAUUGAACUCGCUGUGAAGAUGCAGUGUACCCGCGGCAAGACGGAAAGACCCCGUGAACCUUUACUAUAGCUUGACACUGAACAUUGAGCCUUGAUGUGUAGGAUAGGUGGGAGGCUUUGAAGUGUGGACGCCAGUCUGCAUGGAGCCGACCUUGAAAUACCACCCUUUAAUGUUUGAUGUUCUAACGUGGACCCGUAAUCCGGGUUGCGGACAGUGUCUGGUGGGUAGUUUGACUGGGGCGGUCUCCUCCUAAAGAGUAACGGAGGAGCACGAAGGUUGGCUAAUCCUGGUCGGACAUCAGGAGGUUAGUGCAAUGGCAUAAGCCAGCUUGACUGCGAGCGUGACGGCGCGAGCAGGUGCGAAAGCAGGUCAUAGUGAUCCGGUGGUUCUGAAUGGAAGGGCCAUCGCUCAACGGAUAAAAGGUACUCCGGGGAUAACAGGCUGAUACCGCCCAAGAGUUCAUAUCGACGGCGGUGUUUGGCACCUCGAUGUCGGCUCAUCACAUCCUGGGGCUGAAGUAGGUCCCAAGGGUAUGGCUGUUCGCCAUUUAAAGUGGUACGCGAGCUGGGUUUAGAACGUCGUGAGACAGUUCGGUCCCUAUCUGCCGUGGGCGCUGGAGAACUGAGGGGGGCUGCUCCUAGUACGAGAGGACCGGAGUGGACGCAUCACUGGUGUUCGGGUUGUCAUGCCAAUGGCACUGCCCGGUAGCUAAAUGCGGAAGAGAUAAGUGCUGAAAGCAUCUAAGCACGAAACUUGCCCCGAGAU
rnacentral:rRNA from 1 species